ensembl:snRNA U7 U7 small nuclear RNA
CAGUGUUAUAUCUCUUUUAGAAUUUGUCUAGCAGGUUUUCUGAUCGUUAACCAGAAAACUCCU